rnacentral:rRNA from 1 species
CCUACGGUGGGCAGCAGUGAGGAAUAUUGGUCAAUGGGCGCGAGCCUGAACCAGCCAAGUCGCGUGAGGGAAGACGGUCCUAUGGAUUGUAAACCUCUUUUGUCGGGGAGCAAAAGACGCCACGCGUGGCGUUCCGAGAGUACCCGACGAACAAGCAUCGGCUAACUCCGUGCCCGCGGCAGCGGUAAUACGGAGGAUGCGAGCGUUAUCCGGAUUUAUUGGGUUUAAAGGGUGCGCAGGCGGAAGAUCAAGUCAGCGGUAAAAUUGUGAGGCUCAACCUCUUCGAGCCGUUGAAACUGGUUUUCUUGAGUGAGUGAGAAGUAUGCGGAAUGCGUGGUGUAGCGGUGAAAUGCAUAGAUAUCACGCAGAACUCCGAUUGCGAAGGCAGCAUACCGGCGCUCAACUGACGCUCAUGCACGAAAGUGUGGGUAUCGAACAGGAUGAGAUACCCUUGUAGGC